rnacentral:rRNA from 1 species
UACGAAGGGGGCUAGCGUUGUUCGGAAUUACUGGGCGUAAAGCGCACGUAGGCGGACUUGUAAGUUGGGGGUGAAAUCCCGGGGCUCAACCCCGGAAUUGCCUUCAAGACUGCAAGUCUGGAGGUCAGGAGAGGCGAGCGGAAUUCCGAGUGUAGAGGUGAAAUUCGUAGAUAUUCGGAGGAACACCAGUGGCGAAGGCGGCUCGCUGGACUCAUACUGACGCUGAGGUGUGAAAGCGUCGGGAGCAAACAGG